UACGAAGGGGGCUAGCGUUGUUCGGAAUUACUGGGCGUAAAGCGCGCGCAGGCGGCUCUUCAAGUCAGGGGUGAAAGCCCAGAGCUCAACUCUGGAACUGCCUUUGAGACUGUAGAGCUUGAGUACGGGAGAGGUGAGUGGAAUUCCCAGUGUAGAGGUGAAAUUCGUAGAUAUUGGGAAGAACACCGGUGGCGAAGGCGGCUCACUGGCCCGUUACUGACGCUCAGGCGCGACAGCGUGGGGAGCAAACAGG
rnacentral:rRNA from 1 species